GCUGACUACAAACCUACCAAGACCCCAUGGACACAUAUUUGGGGUGGCUAGCCCAUGCCACCAUUCACCACUGCCUGUGCUUCCUGGCUACGUUACUAUUUUUAGCACACUAGCUUGAUGAUAGUAUGUCUAGUCAAGCUGGGAAUCACACCCCUAGCUCCAAGUGUAGAUGUAGCCAGUGAUUCUUCACUCUUUAUUACUCAGUAUGAUAUUUCCAAUGUAGCUGUAGUUUUUAUGUCUUUAACCAUUACUGGAUUGAUGGAAAUAGAAUAGCCUUCCAUUGCAGAGCUAUUCUGUGCUUGGCUAGGAGGAGUACAAUAUAAAUAGAUUUCUAUUGGUGUUUGACUCUGUAUCUUGUUUGAAGGUCUUUAAUGAUAUGGAGUAGGCAUAGUUUUGGAUCACAUGAGUUAAGUUUUGUUAUCCAGGAAAUAUGCUUAAUAAUUGCUGGUCAAAAGGGUGCCUCAUAGGGACAUUGCUAUACCAUGUGUGUGGGUACCAGUUUCUGUUUGGCACUGAAAUGAGAAAUCAGGUGAUGUUACAAGGGGCGGUGUAGAUUCUUUGUGGGAUUUUGUACAAAGUUAUGCAGAAUUUUUAAUGUUAUAACAUUGAAUUGAAUGCUAGAAGAAGAGGAAAAUAUUCAAAAGUGUCUAAGUCCCAUUUUCAAAAGUGAUUUAGGCACUUAAGAGCUUACAUCUCAUGGAAAAUCAAUAGGAGAUAGGCUCUUGAGUGCCUAAAUCUCUUUUGAAAAUGGGACUUAGUCUUCCAAAUUACUUGGGUGCUUUUGAAAAUUGUACUCCAUACCAUUUCCCCACGUCAUUAUUUCCCAGUAUCUAAGUCCAUCUUCCAUCUACCUGGUACUUCUAGGAUCUGGUUUAGAAAUACUCUUAUUGAUCCAAGAUAAUGCAUGUUUAUUGUACAGGGAGAAAAUGAAUGUAUUUUCAACUACAGAAUCAUUUGUUUUGUUAAAUUUAGGUUUUAAAGCUGUAGUAGUGCAUUUGGAUGUUGUGUAAAUAAUUUAUCCUAAGUGGUUAUCGGAGGGGGAUCAAGAGUGUAGAACUCUUUCUGCACUCUUCAUAUAAUUAUAAUUUUACUUUGCUGUUGCUUAAAAGCUAUCUAGCCAAAAGACAAUUAUGCCUUUUCUGAUACAUAGCUAUAAAUAAUUGAAGAUCCUAUGGCAGUUCUUUAAAGACUGAGAGAGGCUAGCAGAUUGAGCUACGUUUAGAUGUGCAUAUGGUGAGUUAAAGCUUUUGCCUAGGCUUCCUCAUAAGUUUGUUCAUAUAUUCUAGGAUGGAGAUAUAAAUUAGAAGCAUUUAAAGAGCAUCAUAUAGUGAAAUCUCAGUGAUGAGUGUUUUUUUCGCUUUACAGGCAGGAAUAGACUGGGAUCGUGGUAGGAUCUAGAUUAUUGGAGCUGUACUAAGUAUAGUUGAAAGUUGGGAAGGACCAAGACCCCAUUCACCAUUCAGUGAAUGCAUUGUGAGAAGAUGUCCCUCCAGAAGUGCUGUCUCUAUAGGAUAUGUACUCAGACUACUUUGAAUGUUCCUGGUAUCUAAGGUGGCAAUACGUUCCUGCAGGGCAUAACAGGGCUGUGUCAGUGAAGUUUAUAAUAAAGGUGCCCAAGGGGCAUAUAAAAGAUUCAGCAGAUAUUUAAAAGGGGGAUCUCUGCUGAAACAAACUGUAGCACUUUAAAAAUUGCAAAGAGCUAUGGCAUGGGGAAAAAUUAUGUUGAAAGACAAUGGUGCAUAUGCAGAAGUUGAAAUUGGGUAUACCAGUGUUAGGGAAGCAAAGACUAAUUACAGAGUGGUUAUUGCUGCACUGAAGGAUCUAGAAAAGCAAAGACUCCCUUUAAAAUGAUGAUUUACAGAGGCAUGACUGCAAAAUAUUCAGUUUUGUCCUCUGAAUUACAUGACCUCAGCCUGGAUUCAAGUUUGGCCUUGCUUUGUAAACUAGUAGUGAUCUGCACACAUUUGGUUCAUGACACCUGUAUUCAAGAGGCAAUCAUCCUUUCUUUCUUAGGCAUAAUUGUAAUUUCACAGCCAGUGAAAUAACAAUGCUGCCCCAGGAGGGAGCUCUUCCAGUAAUACUAAGUUAUGCUACCUAUUACAACAUGCAAAAAUAUUUUGUCAAAAUUGGAUAUAAACUUUAUUUGCUCUAUCUAGAUGUCCAUUAACAUACCAAACUUGUUGUGUGUGGGUACACAUUUAAAUUUGAACCAUAUUUGUUGAGGAAGGUCACAUGGGAGUGGUUACAUGAUAUUUUUCCGAAAAUGGUCAAUAAGUCUACUUCUAGUUCUAAGGAACCAGCAAACCCCAGACAGACCUGUGCAUAAGGCUGUUCAACACAAACUUGUCCUGUGAGAUCUCAAUAAGAAUCAAGUAUGAUGAAAAUUGGAUUAAUUCCCAAACCUUUUUGAAUUCCAGUGCCUACAAACCCUAGUGAACCAAUUCUGACAAAAAGUUCACAAACUCUUAUUGAACUGAACUUGGAAGGGUUCACACAGUGCUAAUCAUUGGCUGACCAGAUGAAGGAAAGAGAAAAAGGUUGUCAGACCACUGAAAGGAAAAUAUAGCCAAGAGGACAAAUGCACGUUGUAGUCUUUGUCCUGAGAGAAAAAGGCAGCAAAUGGCAGGUUAAAAUGAAGCAGUGGAUCAUCAAAUUCUGGUGAAGAAUAGAAAAAUGGCAAGGGUGGCUUAAGAGAAGAUGUUUAUUAGUGAAGGCAUGUAUGUGUUAUCCUUUUAUGUGAUUUGCUAAGUUAUGCAUAUAUUAUUUUACAGAUAUUAUAGGAGGGGCUGCUUUAUGGAGGGGACCUGAAACUGGAAAGUGACAGAGAGAAACAUCCCUGUGGCCUGUGAGAGACAUCCAGGGACUACAUUGGGUUAAACACUGAUUUAUUUAAACUGUAAAUUUGUCCACCAAAGGAAGGAGGCUGUGGUAAGUUAAACGUCAGAUUUGAUUGUUCCUGAGGGUGCAGUUGGGAAAGGAAUUCUUAUAGGGCUUGAUCCAAAGCAGACUGAAGUCAAUGGAGAGACUUUUAUUGACUUAAUGAGCUUUGGGUCAGGUUCUCGUUGAGCAGAGUCCCAAGUAUCCAUCACAGCUGUGCUUUCAAUAACACCAUCUGGGAGAUCUGCUUGUGGAUACAGCAGGACUGACAAUGCUAAAGUUCAUGUUCUUCUUUUCCCAUUUAUAGAAGAGACAUGACUGAAUUUUUCAGGGAGUAUUUGAGUUUUAUUAAGCAGUUUUAAUAACUCUUUAAUAGGCAGACUAUCCAAACCCCAAUGAACCAACAUUCCAAUGAUAGGAAAUUCAAUAAUGCCUAUGAAUUUAGAAUUUACUUUUCCCCAAAGUUCCAGUUGGCCAAAAUACAUAUAUGUCUCCCAUACAAUUCCAAUUGUCAGGAUUUAUCCAUAUUUCAGCUUAAUAAAUGUCUGAGAGAUGGGCCCUGUAGAAAUAUUUAUACUUUUAAUAUUUGUAUUGGUUUUAUAUCUAUACAGAAAAAUCCACAGCCAACUCCAAUUAAUGUGCAUCUCCUUACACCCUCUUAAUACUCCCAAAAUCUCUAUUCACAACAAAAUAAAAUCUUCUGCAUCCUUCUCCACACAACACACUCAUAUUCCAAUCAACCAACCCCAGUAGGGAAAGCCUGGGUGAAUAAAUAGUGAUCUGAAGGUCAAAACUUCUGGUUCUGUUCAACAAAGUGAGGUUGCGGUGUAAACUCUAGAUUUUCAAAAAAUGCCCUGUCAUUGGAUCCAUCAAUUUAAACCAGGAAGCUGUUAGUUUGAGUACCUCACUUGAUCUCAGCCUCUACUAUAUCACAUAGGGGUAGUCUCUGAGUUAUGUACCCAACAUAUCUAAAACAAGGUUUUAUCAGUCAAAACCAACACCUUGAACUUCACCAGUCACAGAGCAUGAGUGUAAUAUGUUCCCAGUGUGAGCUAAAUAUUUAGACUAACAAAGGUCAUAUUGAGUUAGACAAGUGCAUUAUUCUUUGUUUGUACUGACAACUGUAACUGUAAUCUGUGUUAAACUAGACAAAUGGUCAAUUAAUGUGUAUUUCUUUUCAAUGUCCCUUGGAUAAUGAAUUGUUAAACUAAAUUUAGACCAGAAAAAUGAGAAAAUUAUAGACAUGUCAUUCCAGAACAAAUACUCUUAACCAAGGAAAUUGGUGCAAUUGGGUUAUAAAAGUAGAGCAGCAGAAAUUGAAAAUGCUGACAUGACAGAAAAUUAUUUUUUUUUCUAAGUAAGCACAAUAUUAGGAAAUUUACAAUCUCCAGGAAAUGCGCUUGUCUCCAAGGAUGUCUUGCAUGUCCUCAUCAACAUCUCCGCAAUUCCACACUUAAUUGCCUUCAGAAUCUGUGGAUGAAUACAGGGUAAACAUGUGAAGUUGAUACAUUUGCAUUCAGAGACUCUAGGUUUGCUCAGAUCUGAAACUUGGGGACUGUGAAAACAGAUAAGCAAAAAUGGAAGAAAAUGUUUGAAUGAAUUCUGAAAAAGUACCUCUGCUAUUUAUGUCGGAAAUGACAUUGCUUUUCAGCAAGAUAUCUUCCAUCACAAGACUCGUAACCAAAACUAGAAUUAAAAAAGAGUGUUGGGCCAAAUUCAUUGCCAAUGUAACUCCAUUUACUUCAGUGAUGUCAAUCUAACUCAAUGGACUUACACCAGGGAUUAAUUGUGCCUUUAUUUAUAUUAAUUUUUGCUUUUCAAAGUACCUCUGAUUAUUGUCUAUCAGCAAGAAGCCUGACAGUAGAAAAGAUUUAAUUGAUUAUCACUUCAGGUACCACCUUCUCUCUGGUAUAUUAUAUGGUGAUGGUAAAGAAUCAAAGUCCUCUUCUUUUACACUGCACAAGAAACUUUAUUAGAAUAAAGGAAACAGUAUUGUCCCUAAUGCUACUCUGUUUUUGUCAAUGCUUCAAUGUAAAGCACUGUCUAGAACCUUCCUUGCUGCCCCACUCCUGCUUGGCAUCUUGCUACAAACUUACAGAAAUAAUGCAUGUACCCUUACACACUGUUUCUCAGAUGUUGUUGUAGUUGAUACUUGCAUCAGGAUCCUCCUGUCAGGGCCAGGACAUGGGCAGCCUGUGUGCACAGGUCAGUUACCAAGUUAUGGUUAGGAGACAAGUAGUGGACUUGGGGUUGAGCUGUGUCAGGAUACCAGGAAGUCAGGGUCAGGUGCCAAGUUGCAGACCGGAAGCAAGUGGAAGAGCUGGGGAUGAAUUGGAGUCAGGAGCUGGAGUCUGGGGUUCAUCGCAAGGCAAAGUCUGGAGCGGAAGCAAGCAGGCACUUGUUGCUCAGACAGCUCCCUGUGAUGGCUUACUGGUUUAUAUACCAGUGUGAGACACUCAGUGAGCUGCAGGGGCUGCCUACUCAGGCCCAGCUGGGCAGUACUUCCUGCACCAUCUAGAUUCACAGGGUUCCCCAGCAGAAACCCAGCCUGAGCUUCUGAUGAAAGUGUUGGCAGCCUGGAACUGCCAUAGUUCCAGUCACACAAGUUCUUACUUAAUCCUCCCCCUCCACAACUCCUUGUGGUGGUGCCAGUUCAGGCUUGCUGAGAGAGUUCUGUAGGACUCAUCCCGCCAGGUCAGGGUUCCCAGGUGUGCUUUUCAGGGCCAUUGCCUGCCUAGUCAAUGAGAUAGUACAGGUGACCACACGUCCAUUGGGAAUCGAGGAUGGAAUGCACUUCUUACUCCUCAUGACCCUGGAUUUCAACCAGUGGAGAUGGGGGUGCGGUUUAGUUAGGGCAGGGAUACUCAGUAUAGGGUAAGGCUUUAGAAGGGAAAUAUGAAAAAUUGGGUGUAUUUUGGGGGACUGUGGAAUCUGUAGUUUAAAGCUAACUGGCUUGCUCUGCUGAUGUAUCUGGAAGAGUCCCAGGAACUGGUGGUCCAGUUUCCAGGAGGGUCAACUAAGCUAGAGUUGCUUUGCAGUGAGCUGUGCCUUCUGGCCUACUGUGAAUACUGGAGUUUCCUGUCAUUGACGUCUCUUGUAAGCCUUCUUCACCUCUUCUAGGUGGUUCUUGAGCUCCUUCUGGAUAAGAUGGAUCUGUUGGACCCAGUCGGUGCUGGCUGGGUUCUGGGAGGUUGCUGGUAGCACUGGGUAGAACUUGUAAUUCACAAAGAAGGGUCUCCAACCUGGAAAGGCAUGGUCAGCAUUGUUAUAAGUAAACUGCAUACAACAGGAGUGUGGACCAGUUAUCCUGGUGAUAGUUCAUAGACCAUCUCAAGUAUUGUUCCUGUAAUUGGUUCACCCUUUCAGUUUGUCCAUCUGUUUGGAGGUAGUAUGUGGUGGAGGUGGAUAGAUGGAUGUCCUGUAACCAGAGCAUUUUGCACCAAAAGUGAGGGGUUAAAUGUGGGCCUCAGUCUGAAAUUAUGUUGUCUGAAAUCUGUGAUGAUGAACCACAGUUUGCACCAGCAUUGGGCAGUAGUCUCAGCACAGGGCAGGUGAUUGCAGGAGAUGAAAUGAGCCAUUUUAAUCAGACAGUCCAUGACUGUUAAGACCAUACUUAUGUCCAUUGGAUGUUGAGAGUUCCACAACGAAGUCAAGGGGGAUGACCAAGACCUAGCUGGAGUCUCCAGGGGAACUCAGGUGCCAAGAGAUCUAAGGUGCCUGGGGCAUCUUGGUGCAGUAUGUGAACAAGGCCCACCCUAACUGCAUUUGGUUCAAAGUUCAGGCUUUGCAGAGGUACUCAAGGUUCUUAUUGUUGGUAAGGACCUGCACCAAGUGCAAAGCUCCCCAAGGUGGUGAUGCCAUUCUUCAAAAGCAGUUUUGAUGGCAAGUAGCAUUUUGUCCACUAUUUCUGUGGGGGUGAGUUUUUGAGAGUAGUAUACACAAGGGUGCAGAAUGACUGAGGACUGAAUUUCUGCAAGAGUACUGUCCUGAGGGCCAUUUUGGACGCAUCCAAGUAGAUGAUCACAUAUUGGUCCAGGAUGUCCCUCAACACGCUUACAAAAUGUUGAAAUGUUGCAGGUGCAUUGGUUAAACCAAACAGCAUUACGAGGUAUUCAAAAUGCCCAUAUUGGGUACAAAAAGCCAGUCUUUCAUUUAUCUCCAAGUCUUAUGUACACUAGAUUGUAUGCCCCCUGAAGAUCUAGUUUAGUGAUGAUCCUGGCACUCAACAGGUGGUCCAACAGUUCCAGGAUGAGGGACAGGCAGUAUUGGUUAUGAUUCAGUGCACAAUAGUUUAUACAGAGGCAUACUGACAUCUUAUUUUUCACACAAAGAGGACUGCUGGAGAUGUGGGUGGCCAAAUUAAGCCCUUCUGUGAGAUUUUCCUGGAUAUACAUGUGCAGUGCCUCCAGCUCCGGUUCAGAUGUGUAUAUCCAUCCAUAGCAUCUAUUGGACAGUGGGGGUAGUGAAUCCAUGUUUUCCAUUCAAAUACAUCCAGGUAAUCUUGGUACUUUUGGGGAAGGCCAGGAUUCUGGUCUGGAGCCUCUCCCUUCUGGUUAUCCCCCACCGUCUAGGGCUUUACUUCCUACGGUCUUAUCUGGGGCCCUUGGUGUGGAUCACUGGGGGAGGGGUUAGUUGACUUGUUGCAGGCAAGCUUUCUGGAAAUAUUUGCAGGGGAAGCUAAUGUUCCUCUACUG